rnacentral:rRNA from 1 species
UACGUAGGGUGCGAGCGUUGUCCGGAAUUACUGGGCGUAAAGAGUUCGUAGGCGGUUUGUCACGUCGGCUGUGAAAACCCGGGGCUCAACCCCGGGCCUGCAGUCGAUACGGGCAGACUAGAGUGCGGUAGGGGAGACUGGAAUUCCUGGUGUAGCGGUGAAAUGCGCAGAUAUCAGGAGGAACACCGGUGGCGAAGGCGGGUCUCUGGGCCGAUACUGACGCUGAGGAGCGAAAGCGUGGGGAGCGAACAGG